rnacentral:rRNA from 1 species
CCUACGGGUGGCAGCAGUGAGGAAUAUUGGUCAAUGGGCGCGAGCCUGAACCAGCCAAGUCGCGUGAAGGAUGAAUGUACUGCGGGUUGUAAACUUCUUUUAUCAGGGAAUAAAGUGAGGCACUUGUGCCUUUUUGUGUGUACUUUAUGAAUAAGCAUCGGCUAACUCCGUGCCAGCAGCCGCGGUAAUACGGAGGAUCCGAGCGUUAUCCGGAUUUAUUGGGUUUAAAGGGUGCGGAGGGGGGUUGUUAAGUCAGUUGUGAAAGUUUGCGGCUCAACCGUAUAAUUGCAUUUGAUACUGGCAGGCUUGAGUACAGUUGAGGUAGGCGGAAUGCGUGGUGUAGCGGUGAAAUGCUUAGAUAUCACGAAGAACUCCGAUUGCGAAGGCAGCGUACCAACUCGCCACUGACAUUGAGGCACGAAAGUGUGGGUAUCAAACAGGAUUAGAUACCCUUGUAGUC